CGAGAAUGUCGAAAUAUUGCAAGUGCAAGUUAUAAUCCUUAAAAGAGUUAUAUUAUACUAAAACAGUAGCUUAAAGGGCUAUCCGGAAAUAAAACUAGUUGAAAUUGUCACAGUCAACAGUUUCAUGGUUUACUUUACGGAAAAAUUUAAGGGUGUAUAGAUUCCAAUGGUCAGACUGUGAGCGUGUAUAGAAUAUAACGUCGACCAUUUGAUUUGCUACAAGGUGACCUCGUUAGUGGAAAACUGUUCACUGUUGCGUGUGACCUAGUUAAUAGAAUACGGUGUUUACAUUGACGUGGAAUCAAGUUGCGUGCAAUUCGAAUCCAACAAUACUUCGCCGACAUCCGGAAAGGAAACGAAUUCCAAGAAAGUACGCUCGUACGUGAAAUAAAAGUGCAAUGCGUGAGCUGAAAGGCAAGGUGAAGGAAACGAAGAAACAGAAGAGGGAGAGGCGUAAAGACAAUGCUGAAAACCGGCAGUUGGUUACGCGAUUAGUACUUCCGGUUGUCGUAGCAGUGGUCGGCAUCGUUGUUGGCAUAGUUUUGUACAACACUAACUUUAAGAUAUAAACGUUGCUCAAGUUGACUUCCGGUGCUCAAGUUGUGGUUGAUGGUGCUAAAAGAAAUUUGGAGAUUUACUUUCUUAAGUGACAUUUUUCUUGUUAGUUUUUAAUUGUACAUAGUUCAUGUUCACGUAACUUAUUUUAUCGCUCCAUAAGCAUCGCUGUUAAAUAGUAAAGCCCGGUGCCCUUGUUGAUGUUAUUUUUAAACGGUUUUGUAUUCUUCAAGAGAAAUUGUGUAAAUCAAAAUCAAUAACAGUUUCACCAAAUGACAAACGCUGCAUUAGCAUAAUUGUUUAUGGUUAAAAAAGCUUUGCGGUUACUUCAUGUGUAUUUGAACUCUAUUUAAGUAUUAAGAUGUAAAAAAAUAAGCUUCUCAAAACGAUUGAAUGCCAGUUAUCAAUAUGGCAUGGAAUUACUAGUGGUUAUAUACUGAUGGAUGCAUGGUAUACCGUAAUAAAACAUUCUCUGGAAUUUGAUCUGAAUUUAUACCACUUGUGUGUUCAUUGUUCCAUCAUUGUAUUGUAAUACAAUAAUUUAUGCAUACUAUAGAAAUAAGACACUAAAAGUCGAUGUAUUGUUAUUGCCUUAGCGUCGUCGUCAGACACAAUAUAAGGAAGAUAAAAUUCAAAGAAUCGUCAUUGACUUAGAGUCGUCGUUACCUGCGUCGUUGUUGUUAAAAAACUUCCAUCUUGCCAAUAACGAUAAAACCAAGUGAAACACUCCACAUGUUACCAAUGACAUUUGAACAUAUGUGUAGCAAGGCUGAUAGGUUUUGCUUUAAUAUAUUGUAAUAUUCAGUUGUAUAACCAUUUUAUCGACUGAGCAAAACGUUCGGUGAUAGUCAACCGCUAAAGGUGCUCAUGUUUUAUCAUGUUAUGUAUUGAAUAAAAUAAAGUUAUAGAAUGCUC